AAGCAAACGACUACCCACCCACAACCCCCACCUCUCUCCCUCGAUACGCAGUACAGGUCGCCGGCCCCGACCCGCCAUGCCCUCCGCUUGCCACCUCCGGUGACCCGCCGCGCUCCUCGCCUCACACCUCCUGCGACCCGCCGCGCCCCCCGCCUCCCACCUCCUGCGACCCGCCGCGCCCCCGCCUCCCACCUCCUGCGACUCGCCGCGCCCCCUGGCCUCCACCUCCAGCGACCCACCAUGCUCCCUUCUCCCACCUACGGCGCCUGGCCACGCCCCCCCAGAUCCCACCUCCGACGAGGCGCCACGGCCCUGCCUCCCACCUUCGGCGAUGCGCCACGGCCCUGCCUCCCAUCUCCAGCGACGCGCCGCCCCUGAACCCCGUCUCCUCUCUCGCGCCGCCCCCACUCGCCCGAGAACGCGGCCAUUCCUCCCACAGAGCCAUGCUCGCGCACCGUCGUCCCUCCCACCGCGCCGAGCUCGCACUCCAUCGCCGCUGGUGCCCCCAUCCUCGCGCCGUCCGUGACCCCUCCACUACACUCCUCUGCUGCAAGAACACGCCAGUUCAUGUGGAGAAUAACAGUCCGUCAGUUUGAUAGUUCGUCAAUUCACCGAUGGGAUCCGCAGCAGCAACGCUCGCUCCCCAAUGGUUGCCCACGCAAGGAGGAUACAGGGAGGCGACAGUGGUGGAGUCAGCAGCGUUCCAUGGCCUUUGUCCUCCUCGUCGCAUCUUUUCUUAUAAACAACAAGAAGAAAACGAGGCAUAUGCUUCAUGCUCUCCAUCUCCUGGUAAAGGGGAGUUAAGCUCUACGGCCACUUGGAUGUGGAUGCUCACGCUCCUCCACUGGGCGAGCUUCCAGGGCACCAAGGGGAUUGAUAUUGUCAUCUCUACCCGUCGGCCAUGAGGGCCAAGAGGUUUCCUGCACCCUGCUGAAUGAAAUGCCACUUCCGACCAGCACCUGGCCUGAUGCCGUACGUAGACCGCCGUGCUUUUUAAGAUUUCCUGUAUGCCUGUACAUGAAAAUCUCAACAAUUCCGUUUCUUGUCUACAUGAUUUUGUGCUAGCUUAUCCCAAGUUCAUGUUGCAUGCUCAAUGUAGUAGCUAGCUGAAGAAAAUUUAUUGUUCUGUAGCUUUGGUCUUACCAUUGUGGUGCUUGUGUUAUUGCGUGGGAAAAUGAAAGAAAGGAGUUUUUUUGCAAAUCAAUGAAUGAGAACAAAGUUUGCUGUUUCCCCACCCAAUUUAGAGCUCCAAAAAAGUUCAGAGUUCAGAGUAGUUGUUUGGAGAUGAACAAUAAAUAAGUAUAAGAAAAAUUUGUAAAAAAGUACGACAAAGUCCACUAUGUAUUUCACCAUCAGUACAUAAAGAAAUAUUAUAUAAAAUUCCUUGCUCACAGACUAUUUUUAUAGCCUACUGGUUAGUGUCAAAAUGUGUUGUUCUUGUUUCUUUACGGUUGCUUCUUUAUUAUAUGAAUAUGAAUGUGCUAGCUAGCUUAGCAAUACCAUUUGGAGUUAGUAGGUGUAGCUCAAACAAUUCUUGGGCCAUUUUGUCAUAACAAUAAGGCAGGACAUGCUUACAAGAUGAUGAAACCAUGUAUAUAUAACUUGAUGACUGUCUAAAUUGAGAAAAUCCUGAAAUAUUAUAUGGGCUCUCUUUGUAUCAGUUCUUAUGCUUGUGACAAUUCUGCACUCAUACUGUGCUCGGUGACUAGAAAAAAAUACAUAAGUUCGAAAUAUACUUACCAUGUUUGUUCAGUGUUUUUUCAGUGGUUAUUGGUUUCCUCUUAAGCAGAUGAACUACAUUGUCACAUUAAACUGCAGGGACAAGUUCCCUCAGUUUUCUCUCGACAAAUCCAACAGUACAGGUUCUCCGGCGCGCCAAGUAUUGCUGGCGGCGAUGCCUGCAUCAUGGCCCAUUGAGGAGAUCAUGGCCAUCAGUUGUACUUGGUGGUGCAGACUUGGUAGCGGUGAUAUCUUGGUUCAAUUAUAUAUCAACAAUAGUGCAAUGACUGAAAGAUCAUCAGUUCAAAAUAUAUAUGCAGAAGGAGGUUCAAAGAUUGUCGUGGAGCAAGUUAAAGAGUUCAGUACACUUGCGUCAGUCGUCCAUCAUCUUCUGACAUCUAGUAUCGAAGUCUCUCCCCCCCUCGCCGCACACACAGACCGGGCGGUCGAGCACCUCCUCAAGUGAGAUGGGCGGCGAGGCCCUACCAUCUCCCGGUGAUGACUUGCCGGCACACCCUGCAGAUUCACCUCUCACUCGCACCACGACCGCAGCUUCACUCCCGUGUGCCACCCUCGGCUGCCGCGCCAUGGCCUGCGCUCAGCGGCUGCGGGUGGAGCAGCUGGGUCGAGGAACUUUGCCUCGACAGUACAGCAUCACACUCUGCUGUCGGUCGUGAGAAGAGCUGCGUGCAGGCCACCCCGUGUCCGCCCUCGAUCCAUCUUAGUCAUCUCCCUCUCAUCCUCUCUCUCUCUCUGGUCUGUGUUUCUGUGUGCAGGGAGUUGGAGGAGAUAGAGCAGGGGAGUGGGAGGCCCUUCCAUGGCAAAUUCGUUGGCAUCUUCCAUGGAGAUUGCGACCUCUCUUGAUUUUUGCUUGAGGAUUUCUCCUCUGGAUCUGUCCACUGUAGUUCUUGUAUAGCGGCGUCCUUUUUUCUAGUGUUCCUCAAUGUUGAGGCAUGUGUUUAAUAACCCACUCAUACGAAUUCUAGAAACAAGCUUCAGUACAAGAAAAAUGGGUCGUUCAGUUCAAUUCUGAAUUAUAGGUGUGUGUAAACACAUCCUCCUGACACAGUAACUAAUUAACUAUGAUACCAUGUUCAGACUUCUAUAAAUCCCGAAACUAUGCAGAGUUAGGAUUGUUACUACCUUGUUUCUUACUAUUGAUUCAUUUUUAUACUAUAUUGAGAUGGUACAUGUAGUUGGACAUCUGAAUAUACUGGUGAUUGCUUCUUGCUGCCUCUAUUUUUAUCAUGAUUUGGUGUGUGCACAGCAGGAGUGUUUUUGUUCCUAGAUCAGUUGCUCAACAACAGAAUUGUGUAUCGCACAGUACAUGUAUUACUACUAUGAAGGUUCAGAAAUAAGAACUCAAAGAAGUAUUGACAACAUAGCUACUGUAUAUUCAAGGAGUCGGGUUUUGCUCCUGCAUCAUCUCAUCUCCUCCGUUCAGCAAAAGCCUCGAGAUAAGUUCACACAUAUGGUUUUGUUUCUUUCUAUAAUUCUUGAGUCCAAACUCCUUCGUUUUUUGUUCCUGAGAAAUUAAAUAAACCUGUAGAAGUUUGGGGUAUAAAAUUCUGUAAGUUCGAAAUCGGGAAACUGGUAAGUGCAGACAAAAUUAAAUCUGUCAAAGAAUUAUUGUAGGCAAGUUUAGAAGUUUGGCUUCGUGAGAAAAAAGUAUGAUUUUCUAUCAGUAUUUUGUAUGAUUCAUUUGCCUCAGCUAAAAAUAAAAAAUUAGACAAAAAAUAAUUUUGUUUACUGCCGGUAAUGCUCUCUCCACCCUACUGUCUGUUUUGGUUGAUGAACAAGUACGGGCAAAAUAUCUUGUAUAGGGCAAGUUCUUGUAUUAGUGCCAGGCAAGUUCAAAAAAUAAACCGCGGCAAGUUCAAAAUGAAAAUGUGGCAAAAACAAAAAGGGAGUUCGGAAGUAGGAAUUUGGAUGUAUCUGCCAUUUUUCUUUUUUGUGCUCAGGUUUACAUGAAAAUACACUUUUAGUUUCAGGAAUUGAAGAACUUUUUAGGAAGAAUUAGCCUUUUGAGCUACUGUUGAUGGCUGGCAUUUGUGCCCCGAAGUACGAGUUUGGAAGGCCAGUAAGUUCUACUUCUGGCAUAAGCCAACAGAGCAUCGGUCGAAGAAGGCCGAGGCACCUCGUGCCAGCUCCGGGCAUCACCGGAGUCCCUACCUGUUCUUCCACCGCCCCCGUGCACUCACCGUCGAGCCUAUCCAUGCACAGCUCUAGUAUUGAUGAGCUUCAGGCUUGUCGUUGUUCAUGCAGAUUAAUUCUUUGUUAAUUGCUAUUGCACAUUCAGUAAAUGUAGCCUUUGUCUUUUCAGUGAAGUUUUAUUGUGAAGAUUUUUUAAUGCACAUCGAAACCAGAUUGUCUGCUGUUACAUGUGCAUCAUAUGCGUAUUUUUCCAUCGAGAAACCUCAUCA